GCAUAUCAUAGCGGGAGGAAAAGAAACUAACAAGGAUUCCCCUAGUAACGGCGAGUGAAGCGGGAUGAGCUCAAAUUUAAAAUCUGGCUGGUUUACUAGUCCGAAUUGUAGUUUAUAGAAGCGUUUUCGGUGGCAGCCUGGGUAUAAGUCCUUUGGAAUAGGGUAUCAUAGAGGGUGAGAAUCCCGUCUUUGACUCAGUGCAUGCUACUAUGUGAUACGUUUUCAAAGAGUCGAGUUGUUUGGGAAUGCAGCUCAAAAUGGGUGGUAAAUUUCAUCUAAAGCUAAAUAUUGGCGAGAGACCGAUAGCGAACAAGUACCGUGAGGGAAAGAUGAAAAGAACUUUGAAAAGAGAGUUAAACAGUGCGUGAAAUUGUUGAAAGGGAAACGCUUGACACCAGUUAUGCGGGUGGAAAAUCAGUCUUUUGCAAUGGGGAGUUGUGGGCGUUCAGACCGCAAGGCUGGCGUUUGCUUCAUCUUUGUUGUAAGUGAUGCACUUUUUCAUUUGCAGGUCAACAUCAGUUUGCUUUGCUGGACAAAACUCCAAGGGAAGGUGGCAGCUUAGGCUGUGUUAUAGCCCUGGAGCGAUACAGUGGAGUGGACUGAGGUUUCGCAGUGUGUGCUUUUAGCAAGGCUGACUGGGUGCUAUGGGAUCGUUCGGCGUACAAUGCAUGCAUUUUGCGUCGUGUCUUUUUCAUACUCGCUCAACUCGGCUCUUCCACGCUUAGGAUGUUGACUUAAUGGUUUUAAUCGACCCGUCUUGAAACACGGACCAAGGAGUCUAACAUAUAUGCAAGUGUUUGGGUGGCAAACCCAUGCGCGUAAUGAAAGUGAACGUAGGUGCGAUCCGCAAGGUGCAGCAUCGACCGAUCUUGAUAUUUUUGGAUAGAUUUGAGUAAGAGCAUAUAUGCUGGGACCCGAAAGAUGGUGAACUAUGCCUGAAUAGGGGUGAAGCCAGAGGAAACUCUGGUGGAGGCUCGUAGCGAUUCUGACGUGCAAAUCGAUCGUCAAAUUUUGGGGUAUAGGGGGCGAAAGACUAAUCGAAACCCAUCUAGUAGCUGGUUCCUGCCGAG
rnacentral:rRNA from 1 species